ensembl:lncRNA
UUUCUUGCUGUUCUUGACCUGUUUUAUUAGCAGAGGUGGAAAGUAACAAAGUACAAAUACUUCAAGACAAAAGAGUGUGAGACAAACUUCACUCAGAGAUGAAGGGAGGUGUAGGAUGACAGAGAGGCCACGAGAGAAAGAAGAGAGGUUAGAUUAAAAGGACUGGAUUUAUUGGCUAGUCGAUACCACAAAAACCAAAUCCUGCCACAGUAAUCUGAUCGAUGUCGGAGCAGCCAUAUGUCAAAGCAGCUUAUGAUUAGCUGUCACUGUAUGAAACCCUUGGCACAAGCCUGCGGAUUUUUCUGAGGCCCCAUUGAAAGAGUGACCUGCUGAAAUGAUCUGAGGGCAGAGGAUCUUCUCUACUUACAGCUGUCUGCUCCCUCAUUUGUCUUUGUUAUGCUUACCCCGCCUUUUAAAUUUAAUUGAAUGUGGAUUUUUUUUAACUCCACUUGAAGUUUGUUUCUUUUCAGUAAUUGUGUGUCUG